AUCUUUUUAGUUUAUAUUUAUUUCUAUAUUUGAUUAUUUUGUUUACUACACGUAUUACAGUCUGUUUCCAUGGUUACAUUCCUUUAUUAUGAGCUUAGUUACUGGCAACAUAUUUAAGUGGUGCCUCAAUCAUUCACAGGCCUGUUUGUUCCUGUUGUUUUACACGGAUGAACAGGUGGGAACCAAAAUCCCCUCGGGGACUGCAUCUGUCUUAGGUUGUCAGGACUCACUUCCUGAUCUUACCCGUCAUUGACUGUCCAGUCCAGCUCACAGGGGCAGAGAGCAUUGUGCCAAAACAGCAUGGCCACCCAUUAGUGAUGCGAGAUUGUGGCAAUUGUAACAUUGCUCUCAGGAGCCGCCACACACUGCUGAAAUACACCUCACGGGCAGUGUGCAAUUGCCAUAGUAAGGAUUCCCAGUCACACUGCUAGAGUCAUCACUACUCCCCAUCCACUGGAUCACUAAGAGCUGGCCAGUGAAGCUGUGCCAUCCCAUCUGGAUUCAUUAUGAUGUCAGCAGUUUUUAAAUGAACAGUAUUGUAACUUCUCCCAUUAUAUUUUUACAGAUAAUAAAAAUCCAUGUGUUCAGAGUUUCUUCUGUACUGGCUUCUCAGUAUUGUGUUGUUUUUCAUGACAUUUAGAAUUUUGAAGAGUUCUGGUCAGAUAUUUUUUACAAUGCCUUUCAAUUUUGGUUUCUGUAACUUUCUCAUGAACAGACUGUCAUUAUAGGGGAAAGAACCUCACAGAUGUGCGGUACCUUCUCAUUACAUCAUACAGGGGCCACAAUAUAGCAUGAUUUUUAGGUUAAAGUAGUGCUUGUCUGUUUGUCCACUCUAAACUUAUUACUUUCUAGCCUUUGAAAAUAAAUCACUAAGUCCAGGUAUACUCUAGGAAGGAAGAGUGAAUUGAACACCACUUUCUUGCAGAUCGGGUGGGAGAAGUAUCUGUGUAUAUUACUUGGGAUUUUUCUGCUAAGGAAAUUCAUCUCUUUCCCCAUAUUUAUUUGUUUAUUCAGUCAUUUA